GACGAACGCUGGCGGCGUGCCUAAUACAUGCAAGUAGAACGCUGAAGGAGGAGCUUGCUCUUCUGGAUGAGUUGCGAACGGGUGAGUAACGCGUAGGUAACCUGCCUGGUAGCGGGGGAUAACUAUUGGAAACGAUAGCUAAUACCGCAUAACAGUAGAUGUUGCAUGACAUUUGCUUAAAAGGUGCAAUUGCAUCACUACCAGAUGGACCUGCGUUGUAUUAGCUAGUUGGUGGGGUAACGGCUCACCAAGGCGACGAUACAUAGCCGACCUGAGAGGGUGAUCGGCCACACUGGGACUGAGACACGGCCCAGACUCCUACGGGAGGCAGCAGUAGGGAAUCUUCGGCAAUGGACGGAAGUCUGACCGAGCAACGCCGCGUGAGUGAAGAAGGUUUUCGGAUCGUAAAGCUCUGUUGUAAGAGAAGAACGAGUGUGAGAGUGGAAAGUUCACACUGUGACGGUAUCUUACCAGAAAGGGACGGCUAACUACGUGCCAGCCGCCGCCGUAA
rnacentral:rRNA from 1 species